UAUGCUGCUGAACAGAUUUCACUGGAAAUGAUAAAAUAUUUAGUUGAACAUGGUGCUGAUAUUAAUUCUAAAAGCAAGAGUAAUGCCACUGCUUUGAGUUUAGCUGUUAGAACUGGAUCACUGGAAACUGUCAAAUAUUUAGUUGAACAUGGUGCGAAUGUAAACUGUGAAAGCAGUGACAAUGAUAGUCCUCUUCACUAUGGUGCUAAAAAGGGUUCACUAAACAUUGUGAAAUAUUUAAUUCAGAAAGGUGCGAAUGUGAAUUUCAAAAAUGAGUGGGAUAUAACUGCUCUUCACUAUGCUGUUGAGUCGGGUUCACCGGAAGUUGUCAAAUAUUUAGUUGAACAUGAUGUUGAUGUAAAUUGUAAAAGCAAGUGUAAGGCCACUGCUCUGCAUUUUGCUGUUAGAAAUGGUUCGCUAGCAAUAGUCAAAUAUUUGGUUAAGAAUGGUGCUAAGGUUACAGCAAAAGCACGACGUGGAGAACAAACAGUUCUAUAUUGGGCAUGUAGAGAGGGGAAUGAA